rnacentral:rRNA from 1 species
CUACGGGGGGCUGCAGUGGGGAAUCUUAGACAAUGGGGGAAACCCUGAUCUAGCCAUGCCGCGUGAGUGAUGAAGGCCUUAGGGUCGUAAAGCUCUUUCGCCAGGGAAGAUAAUGACGGUACCUGGUAAAGAAACCCCGGCUAACUCCGUGCCAGCAGCCGCGGUAAUACGGAGGGGGUUAGCGUUGUUCGGAAUUACUGGGCGUAAAGCGCGCGUAGGCGGAUUGUUAAGUCGGGGGUGAAAUCCCGGGGCUCAACCCCGGAACUGCCCUCGAUACUGGCAGUCUUGAGUUCGCGAGAGGUGAGUGGAAUUCCGAGUGUAGAGGUGAAAUUCGUAGAUAUUCGGAGGAACAUCAGUGGCGAAGGCGACUCACUGGCUCGAUACUGACGCUGAGGUGCGAAAGUGUGGGGAGCAAACAGGAUUAGAUACCCCGGUAGUC